AUCCAGCUGAUGAGUCCCAUAUAGAAUGAAACACGCGUUAAACUGGAU
rnacentral:hammerhead_ribozyme from 1 species